rnacentral:rRNA from 1 species
AACGAACGCUGGCGGCAUGCCUAACACAUGCAAGUCGAACGAGACCUUCGGGUCUAGUGGCGCACGGGUGCGUAACACGUGGGAAUCUGCCCUUCGGUUCGGAAUAACAGAGAGAAAUUUCUGCUAAUACCGGAUGAUGACGUAAGUCCAAAGAUUUAUCGCCGAAGGAUGAGCCCGCGUAGGAUUAGGUAGUUGGUGGGGUAAUGGCCCACCAAGCCGACGAUCCUUAGCUGGUCUGAGAGGAUGAUCAGCCACACUGGGACUGAGACACGGCCCAGACUCCUACGGGAGGCAGCAGUGGGGAAUAUUGGACAAUGGGCGAAAGCCUGAUCCAGCAAUGCCGCGUGAGUGAUGAAGGCCUUAGGGUUGUAAAGCUCUUUUACCAGGGAUGAUAAUGACAGUACCUGGAGAAUAAGCUCCGGCUAACUCCGUGCCAGCCGCCGCAGUAA